UCCAUUUCAGCGAAGAGAACGUUCUCCG
rnacentral:sRNA from 1 species